rnacentral:lncRNA from 1 species
CCCCGGCCUCGCCGAGCCCCGCCGGCGCCGCCGCCUCGCUGUGCUGCGCGGCUCCGGCGCCACCCGCCCGUCCCACUCACCGGCGCGGCGUCCCGGUGCGGGGUCAGGGUGCCGGUGCGGAGUGGCGGUCCCGGUGCGGGGGUUCGGGUGCGCGGUCCCGGCGCUCGGGGACGCUCCGCUCGCUCCGCGCUGUCAGAGGCGCCGCGGCCGCCGGGAGGGAGGGCGGGAGCGGCGCGGCCUCCGCGGCGCUGCGCAUGCGCGGCCGGGGGCGGGGACGGCCGCCCGCCGCCAUCUUGGGCGGCCGAGGCGCCGGGUGCGUGUCCCGGCGUGCCGCGCGCGCCCCUCCCGGCGUGCACUGCGCGGCCGCCCGGCUGAGGGGGCGGCCCGGGGACCCCGGGAGGGCCGGGAAUAGCGGGGAUAAAGGGGCUUUUCCGGGAGAACCGGGACUAGCGGGGGUUUUCCGGGACACCGGGAGUGCCGGGAAUAGCGGGGAUAAAGGGGGUUUUCCGGGAUACAGCGGGACUAGCGAAGGUUUUCCGGGAUAGCGGGAAUAGCGGGUGUUUUCCGGGAUACACCGGGAAUAGCGGGGGUUUUCCGGGACACCGGGAGAACCGGGGCUAGCGGGAAUAAAGGGGGUUUUCCGGGAGAACCGAGACUAGCGAAGGUUUUCCGGGACACCGGGAGAACCGGGGAUAGCGGGGGUUUUCCAGGACACACCGGGAGCACCGGGCACAGGCCAUGGAGGGUCAGGCACGCCGGGAAACCGCCGGGGCAGCAGCAGUGCACCGGGCGCGCCGGCUGUCACCGCGCACCGGGAAGACGAGGCUCCGCGGGUACAGCACCUCGGCUUCCCGCAGCACCGGGCGCUGCAGUGCAGUCCCAGUGUCCCUUCCCAGGAAUGCCUUCCCGGGACAGCUCUGUUCUAGGCUGUGGCUGUGGCUGUGCCACAGGAAGGGUUGCCUGCACUCGUGUGGUGUCGCGGUGGCACAGCCUCUGUCCGUGACCCGGCCCGGGGUGAUGCGCUUCGCUGCUGAAGUUACCCACGUGCUGCACCGGAGAUCUGCGACUACGGGCUGA